GUGAGUCGUGUGUAAAAGAAUCACAAGUAAGAAAUGAAUCAUUUAUACGAGACAGAUACAAAAAUGAAUGUGUAAAAGAAUCACAAGCAAUAAUUGAAUCGUGUAAAAGAAUCAAAAAUAAACGAAUUGUGUGAAAGAAUCAGACGAAAAUUCAUGUGAAAAUAAAUGACUUGUGUAAAAUGAAUCAUGUAAAAGAAUCACAUUUAAGGUGAGUCGUAAGUAAGAGUCGUGUGAAAAUAAAUGAAUCAUGUAAAGGAAUCACAUUUAAGGUGAGUCGUAAGUAAGAGUCGUGUGAAAAUAAAUGAGUCAUGUAAAAGAAUCACAUUAAAGGUGAGUCGUAAGUAAGAGUCGUGUGAAAAUAAAUGAGUCAUGUAAAAGAAUCACAUUAAAGGUGAGUCGUAAGUAAGAGUCGUGUGAAAAUAAAUGAGUCAUGUAAAAGAAUCACAUUUAAGGUG
ensembl:lncRNA